AGACCAACCAAAGAUUGCCACGUAGUCAAGAUAAAGGCCCAUAAAGGAUGAAGCCCGUCGAAUCCGUGAGCCAAGGGAACAGUCGAAGUGGGUAUCGCCACAAGGAGAAUCCGAAGUGACUGCAUUUCGGCAUGAGUCCGGCAUCGAAAUCACGGUUGAAUCGGUUUAAGGACAUUUGGGCCAAAAGGCGGGGCCCAUGAAGAUCAGAGUCAAUUCAAAUUCAAACGUUGAGGCAUUAAAGCCGAAGAUCAAAACGGACACAUUUAAGAGAGAAUAAUUAUACUUAAUUAGCCAUUUUAAUGUCGUUUUCCUAUGUAUAAAUACAAAGGCCAAUGGCCAUGUAAGGGGGAUCUUCCUCUCAAGAAAGAAAUACUAUAGCAAUUUUCGUAGCAAUUUAUAAGUUUUUACAUAUUCAUUUUUGUCCCUCAAGAGUAAUCUUACCUACUUAAUAAAAAUACUUGAGUGUGUGAAUCCGACAUCCACAUUUUGGCGCCGUCUGUGGGGAGAUAGGAUUCUUGAGUGGUCAGAUUUUUCUUUAUUACACUUCCGAGAUAAGCAACAAUGUCCGGAGGAGACACCGUUGAGACAUCAUUGGCCGAAACCCUCAAAGCUAUGCAGCAAACCAUGUCGGACAUAUCACAAAAGUUCUCGGAUGUGGAAAAGGCCGUCGAUACGUUGCAAACAUCCCAGGUAUCUCUUAGUCAAAACGUCAGUACUAUACAAACUCGUGUUCGCUCUUUAAGUGCAGGAAACCUUGUGGGAAUCCGAAGAGGGAUAUUCAACUCGCCAAGUUCCGCUGCACGAAAUGAAACCAGCGGACAAACAACUCCCGGUGCUACUGAUAAUGUAGUUCAGACGUUGGAAGAAGAGACACAGCUCGGAGAUGAAGAACAACUUGCAGCUCAAUACGAGCAGGAGAACCUCGACCAGUUCGAGACCAUGAGGAAGGUUAGCCAGGAAUUAAAAGAAAUGAAAUCAAAAUUUCAUCAAGCUACAAGUUCGGAGCCAGACAUCAAUCGAGUCAUUGAAGAAGCUAGGCGAACACCUUUCAUCUCGCGAAUUGCAAGUUUGAGGAUCAAAGAUUCCCGGAAACUUAAGUUGGACCCUUACAGCGGAUUGGAGGAUCCAAAAAGCUAUCUCGCAGCUUUUCUGAUCGCUGCUGGAAGAGUCGAAUUGGAUGAAGCUGAUGAGGACGCAGGUUACUGCAAGCUUUUUUCGGAAAAUCUAUGUGGCCAAGCCCUAAUGUGGUUCACCCAAUUAGAGCCGGGUUCAAUCAGCAAUUUUGACGAACUAUCAGCCGUAUUCUUAAAGCAAUAUUCCAUCCUUAUGGAUAAAAGCGUUUCGGAUGCCGAUCUUUGGAACUUAUCGCAAGGAUCAAAUGAGUCACUUCGAGUUUUCAUCACCAAAUUCAAAGGAGUGCUGUCAAAGCUCCCAAGAAUCUCGCAGCAAUCAGCUUUAUCUGCCCUACGAAAAGGAUUGCGACAUGAUUCAAGGUUUAAAGAAGACUUAAUACUUCAUAAACCAGACACAAUUCAGGAUGCACUCUUCCGCGCAAACAACUGGAUGGAGGUAGAGGACGAAAAAGAAAGUUUUGCCAAAAGAAAUAAGCAAGAGAAGCCGGCAAUCACCGUCCCUACCAAAAAAUUCGAACCCAGGGAGAACAAAGGACCAAAGAAAUUUGGGUCGCAACCCUUCAACAGUACCGUCGGAAAGCAAUUCCAAGGGAAAGGAAGAUCAAACACUUGGGUCCGUGAUGAAAGUCUAUAUUGCGACAUUCAUAAACUAACCGGACAUUUAACCAAGGAUUGUAGCGUUCUUAAAAGGCACCUCGCAGAGCUUUGGGCCAGUGGAGAUCUUUCCAAAUUCGAUAUAAAAGAUUUUGUGAAGGAAUACCACGAAGCAAAGGAAAGUUCCAAAGAUCAAAAUUCCAAAAGACCAAGGUUAACCAACGAGGAAGAACCAAGGAAUUCGAAGGGUAAGAUCAAUGUUAUUCUAGGAGGUUCCAAAUUUUGCGGAGAUUCGAUAAGUUCCAUCAAGAAACAUAGACGAAAUAUCUUACUCAAAGCAAGCUUGAGCAAAGAAGAAGAUUUUCAAGGUGCCUCAAUAUCAUUUAACGAAGAAGAAACGCGGCAUCUCGAAAGACCGCAUGAUGAUGCUCUAGUCAUUACCCUUGAUGUUGCUAACUUCGAAGUAUCAAGGAUCCUUAUCGAUACAGGCAGUUCGGUCGACUUGAUCUUUUUAAGUACUCUAGAAAGAAUGGGAAUCAGCCGAGGAGACAUAGUAGGACCCCCAUCUCCAUUAGUUGCGUUCACAAGCGAGUCAGCCAUGUCUCUCGGAACAAUCAAGCUACCGGUCCUUGCCAAAAAGGUAUCGAAGAUCGUGGACUUCGUUGUCUUCGAUAAGCCCGCAGCUUACAACAUCAUCCUCGGGACUCCCUGGAUUUAUCGAAUGAAAGCAGUCCCCUCUACAUACCAUCAAUGUAUCAAAUUUCCAACAUCAAAUGGGGUGGAAACAAUUCGGGGAGAUCAAGAAGCUUCACGGACGUGUUACCUAGCUAGCCACCGUUUGAAGAUCCAAUAGCAAUUAACAAAGCCCGCAAAAGAAGGACUAAGGCAAAAAUUUCCUAGUGGGCAGGAAAAAGAGGAUGUAGUAGUCGAAGUGGUAUUGGAAGAAGACAAACCAGAUCGGAAAGUCCGAAUUGGAGCAACUUUGACUGGCCAAAUAAAAGAAGCUUUGGUCGAACUUUUAAGGAGAAACAAAACAUCGUUUGCGUGGUCAGCAGCAGACAUGCCUGGUAUAGAUCCAAAUAUAAUUUGUCACGAGCUAAACGUGGAUCCGAGCUUCAAGCCGGUGAAACAGAAAAGAAGAAAGCUCGGAGUGGAGCGAGCCAAAAUAGUAAAUGACGAAGUGGAUAAACUUUUGAAGAUAGGGUCCAUAAGAGAAGUGCAAUACCCGGAAUGGGUAACAAACACUGUCGUUGUCAAAAAGAAGAAUGGGAAAGAUAGGGUUUGCAUCGAUUUCACAGACCUAAAUAAAGCAUGUCCCAAAGAUAGUUUCCCGCUCCCACAUAUAGAUCGACUUGUAGAGUCCACCGCUGGGAACGAGCUGUUAACAUUCAUGGACGCCUUCUCGGGUUAUAAUCAAAUAAUGAUGAACCCCGAAGACCAAGAAAAAACGUCAUUCAUCACUGAUAGAGGUAUCUAUUGUUAUAAGGUAAUGCCUUUUGGUUUGAAAAAUGCAGGAGCAACUUAUCAACGGUUGGUUAACAAGAUGUUCCAUAAUCAUCUCGGGAAAACAAUGGAAGUCUACAUAGAUGAUAUGUUGGUUAAAUCGUUAAAGAAAGAGGAUCACGUUAAGCAUUUAGAGGAAUGUUUUGAUAUUCUCAAUAAAUAUCAAAUGAAGCUGAACCCGGCGAAGUGCACAUUUGGAGUCCCAUCCGGAGAAUUUCUUGGUUAUAUCGUGACAGAAAGAGGGAUUGAAGCCAAUCCAAAUCAAAUUAACGCCUUUCUAAACAUGCCCUCUCCAAGAAACUUCAAAGAAGUACAACGGUUGACUGGGCGGAUUGCGGCUCUGAAUCGUUUUAUCUCGAGAUCAACAGAUAAGUCGUUGCCUUUCUACCAAAUUCUAAAAGGGAACAAAGGAUUCCUUUGGGAUGAGAAGUGUGAAGAAGCUUUUGGGCAGCUUAAGGCAUACUUAACCACUCCACCUAUAUUGUCCAAACCGGAAGUGGAUGGAAAACUUUAUUUGUACGUGUCGGUUUCAAACCACGCGGUUAGUGGAGUCUUGGUUCGAGAGGACCGCGGGGAAUAGAAACCAAUUUACUACGUAAGCAAGUCAAUGACGGAUCCGGAAACCAGAUACACAAUGAUGGAAAAACUCGCACUCGCGGUGGUGACUUCGGCCCGAAAGCUGCGCCCAUAUUUUCAAUCCCAUCCGGUUGAAGUAUUAACCAACCAACCACUCCGAACAAUACUUCAUAGUCCAAGUCAGUCCGGACGUUUGGCGAAAUGGGCGGUGGAGUUAAGCGAGUACGGUAUAGAAUUCAAAAGCCGGAUCAGUAUGAAAGCUCAGGUUUUAGCAGAUUUCUUAACCGAGCUACCAAUACCUGGAACGAUAGAGCAACUGGAGAACCAAACUUGGAAAUUACACGUAGACGGGUCUUCAACAAAGCAAGGAUCUGGAGUGGGAAUCAAGUUGGAGUCUCCAACAUCAGAAAUUCUAGAACAAUCAUUCCGGUUGUUAUUCAAUGCCUCCAACAACGAGGCAGAAUACGAAGCCCUGAUUGCCGGACUUCGAUUAGCACAAGGAGUUGGAGCUAAGGAAAUAUUGGCUUAUUGCGAUUCGCAGUUAGUAGUUAACCAGUUUAAUGGAGACUAUGAAGCCAAAGACUCAAGAAUGGAAGCGUACCUCGAAGUGGUGAAGGAUCUAUCUAAAAAUUUCUCGAAAUUCAAAUUAAUCCGCAUACCUCGGGGGGAGAAUACAACUGCGGACGCACUUGCCGCAUUGGCGUCAACAUCAGAUCCUGAGUUGAAAAGAGUUAUUCCAGUGGAAUGCAUUUCGGAGCGAAGCAUUCAAGACGACAAGAAAACCCUCGUCGUUACAAGGUCUCGAGCAGCGGCACGUGACCGUGGCGAACCAGAGAUCGAACCUCCACCCAACAAACGGAGGAAGUCAAGGGGAUCCAACACAUCUGACAAGGAACCCGUUCUCUUAGCAGAAGAUGUGAUUCCAGAAACGAUAUUAGAAACCGAGACGUUAAUCGAGGAGAAUGUUCUUGAACCAAACGAACAUCCCGAACCGGAGCCACGAGUAUUUCACAAGGUCGACCAAAUUCCGGCUAAAGACUGGGGGGCUGACUGGAGGGAGCCAAUAAAGCACUACAUUAUGACAGGCGAGCUCCCAAAGAAUAAAUGGCAGGCCAGAAAAAUGAGAAUCGUUAGCGCGAAAUUUUGUCUGUCAAAAGACACAUUGUAUAGACGAGGUGUCAGUGACCCUUACCUAUUAUGCAUUUUUGGGCCCGAAGUCGAAAUCGUUAUGAGCGAAGUGCAUGAAGGAUUAUGUGGGAGUCAUUCAUCAGGAAGGGCUAUGGCUUUUAAAGUUAAAAGAAUGGGAUAUUAUUGGCCCACUAUGAUCACAGAUUGUGUUAAGUUCGCCCAAAGAUGCAAGCGCUGCCAACUCCAUGCACCAUUGAUCCAUCAACCGUCGGAAUUAUUCUCCUCCAUUUCCGCUCCAUACCCGUUUAUGAGGUGGUCAAUGGACAUCAUUGGACCAUUGCACAAGUCAACUCGAGGUGUACAAUACCUUUUAGUCCUUACGGACUACUUUUCGAAAUGGAUUGAAGCUGAGGCGUAUGUUGGUAUCAAGGAUUCAGCGGUGAAGACCUUUAUUUGGAAAAACAUUAUAUGUCGACAUGGAGUUCCGUACGAAAUAGUCACUGAUAAUGGACCACAAUUCAUUUCACACGAGUUUGAUACCUUUUGUGCGGACUGGGAAAUCAAAGUUAGUUAUUCUACUCCACGAUAGCCGCAAGGAAACGGUCAAGCCGAAGCCGCGAACAAGACGAUAUUGAGCAAUCUCAAGAAACGCUUAAAUCAUCUAAAGGGAGGAUGGUAUGAAGAACUCCAACCCGUCCUGUGGGCCUAUCGCACAACCCCUAGGCGACCUACAGGAGAAACUCCAUUCUCUUUGGUUUAUGGCAUGGAGGCGGUAGUACCAGCUGAACUCAAUGUGCCCGGACUUCGCCGAACAGAAGCACCGUUAAAUGAGGAAGAAAAUUCAGCAAUGCUUAAUGAUUCACUAGAUACCAUAAAUGAAAGGCGUGAUCAAGCUUUGAUUCGGAUCCAGAAUUACCAGUAGGUAGCAGCCCGGUAUUACAAUUCUAAGGUUAAAAGUAGGCCGUUCUCCGUGGGAAAUUAUGUAUUAAGGCGCGUCUUUGACAACAAAAAGGAAGAAGGUGCCGGUAAACUCGGUAUUAAUUGGAAAGGACCUUACAUUAUUACCGAAGUGGUUCGGAAUGGUGUUUAUAGGUUGAAAGACUUAGAAGACAAUCCAGUCAAGCGACCUUGGAAUGUGAUCAACCUAAAGAAGUUUUAUGUUUAAAGCUACGUGCAUUGUUUAUGUACAUGAACUACGGUGUGGCUUGAUCCCGAAAUGGGUACGUAGGCAGCUCGGAAACGAGUUCAGCUAUUAAUAAAAAUUUGUUUUAUUUCUUUAUUAAAGGAAAAAGGUUCGACUGUGCAAACAAGUGAAGCAAAUAAAGGUUCGGCUAUGCGAACAUACAAGAGAUUGGAAAUAGAGCGUUUAUUCGAAAGACGGAAUGUCCCUCAUCGUACACUUCGGACUAUGAAAAUCUUGUUGACGAGCAGAACACUUCAACUCCUUGACCAGCAAGAUCGAGGAUUGGCAUCAUGCAGUCCGGAAUUCGAGCAAAGUCAGAAAUUCCAAGCUCAGUCCACUCUCCGGGGUGAGAUUCAAGGAUGUGAAGGUCUCUUGACACCGUAGUAAGCCUGCGUUGCAUCCGGUUAAUCCUCUUCCGGAGUCUCCUCUUUUCCAACAUAAGCUUCCGGUGUUGGAGCGCGAGUGCCUCUAUGAACGCCGUCGCUGUUCCUUGGUUUCUGAUUGGGAGAUCCCUGAUCAAAGCACAUGGGGCUCGGAUCUGAGAUCUUAAGAAGCUGUGAAGUGGAGGAGGCUGCCUGCUUGGCUCAUUUGGAACAUCUUCGUUUAUCAUUCCGAUUCUGGAGAAGUCGGGCAUAGAUUCUGAACAGCGAAGAUUGAACUCCAUACCUACUAAAAUGAAAAGAAUGGUGAGGAGUAGAGGGAAAUUGAGACUAUAAUUUAUAGGAACGUUAUAUCCCUAGCAAGCUGCGGAUUCUAUCCUAGGAAUGGAGUGAUUUGCGGAGAGAUUUAUGCCCUCGAACAGAUCCUGCAUUAAAAGACGCAUUUUCGAGAAUAUUUGAAAAAUAAGGAAAAUUGCAAAUGUUUCCAUAAAUAAAAAGGGGCCGAAGCCCAUUACGAGUUCAAAAUAAGUGAAAAAGUUAGAGAACAUUUAUGGAAGAGGCUCAGGAACAGGCUCCUUCAUCGCCGGUUUAGUCUUCGAAGUGGACGCCUUGUUCUUGGCAUCCACUUCGGGAUGAUCCCGAACGCGUUUCCGACAGGUGCUGGCCUCCUCUUCGUCUUCUUCUUCGCUGUCAGAUGGAACGGCAUAGACCGGGGCGUUCACGGGACCCGGGACUCCUUUAGCGCGGAGAUACAUCCGAAACAUCUUCGGGAUCUCAGCGACAGAGUCAAAGUUUUGCCAUUCCCAUUGAAAGGGAUCACUUUCCAAGGCCCGUAUCUUCCUCUCCACCCGAGCGAUGCGAGCCUCGAGUGUUUGCCUUUUGAGGCCCAGCCGUUGCCUCUCUUCACACAAGCGACGGUGUUUGUCGGCAACCUAGCAUAAAGAUGAAUGAAUAAGAUGAAACAAAAGGUUUUUAAAUCAAAAACUUUAAAUAUUUACCUUGUCAAUAAAGUCGCAAGCCUCUUUCUUCUCCUUUGAAGGAAAGUGAAAGACGGCGUGAGGGAAGAGAACGCCGGCCGGUUCAAAGCCGUCGCCGGACAAGAAAAGUGGGCUGCCGGGAUCAACGGGGGCUACUUUUUCGUUUUCCAUUCUCGAAAUAUUUCUCAAGUAAGAUUCUAAAAUCAUGUUUAAAUAAAGCUUAGAAGUAGGUAAGCCUUUAUUUAUAAUGAUUUAGGGUUUGUCUUGGAACCAUAAAACCAAUAAUGGUAGUGUGCCCGAGUGGUUUAAACCAUUUUUGGAAAAUCGAGAAAAGGCAGUUAUUGCAUUAAAGACGAGCCGUUUUCCCUACUUUUGAGAAAUAAGAAGGGAAAGAGCAACCGUCGCAUUAACUACAAAGUUUUCUAAGGCUCAAGCCCAAUAAAUUUAUCGAGUUGACUAAACCCGAAGUGGGGAACUCGCUUUAAGCCAAGCUCAGUUCUCGCAUUCUAAAGAGAAAGGUCUGAUCAGCCUAAAAAUCUCGAAAACAUAACCACAAGGCCACAAAAGGUUAAAAGCGGACUUUGCAAACCCGCAUAUAAUUUUAACCAAACCCCCUUGGGGUCAUAACCUAGAAAGGUUUAAAAGCCUCCUCAGGCAAAUAUCUUGUUCAAAAGAAAUAAUAAAGCCUCCUUAGGCAAAAACAAGUUCGAAAUUAAGUCUUAAAAUUAAUGGGACAAUUCCCAAUUUAAAGUGGACACAGCCACUACGGAGCAACAGCCACCUCGGACUCCGGCUCAACAGUCGAAGCUUCAUUCGCCUCCUUGGCAGGUGCUUGGUCAGAUAAAACUCCUGGUCCGCUCUCCACAGUACAACCAUCCUCCGGGAUGACCUCCGGUGUCACAGGAACUUUGGGUGGGACGACAUCUUCCGUCUCACUUGAGCCUGGGAAGGACGGUUCCAGUUAAUUUUAAAAAAAAAAAACGUAAGGUAAGAAAAGGGUGGUAAGCGUCAGGAGCCAAGCGUUACCUGCUCAGUCUAAACCCGAUUCACUUAUAGGAGGUGAUUCAGUAAAGAAUUCCUCGAAGUCAUGCGGGUUGAAGGUCGAAGUGGGAAGAGCUGCCAAGCGACUCCGCUUUUCAGAAAGAUUAGUCGACAGUUCGGUCCUUUCUUGCUCCUCGGAGAAAUCUGUUUCAUGGAUUUGGUCCAACAGAAUCAGGUUGCUCUCAUGCUCCUUGAUGUCUGAUUCCAAGUCUGACCUAGCCUUCUCGGUCUGCAUGAAGCGGAUGGCCCCUUGGAUCAACUCCAUCCCGCGUCCCUUAACCUCCUUUCUGGCCUUCGAUGCCGACCUUGCCAACUCGGAAUCACGUAAUUUGGCGAUCGCCUUGUACUUCGCGUUAAGCUCAAUAAGUUGGUUGUUCAGGGAAUCAGCGUUUGAUUCGGAUUCUUGAAGCCUACCCUGAACACCAGAAAACUCUUCCUGGAGCUUGAAAUUCUGGUCGUACUGAUCCUGCAGCUCCCCCUUAAUCUUCGCCAGUUCGGAUGUUAGAUUGUCGACCUUGUCUUCCAGAUCGUGCUUGGAGCCGGUAGAAGAGCUUAGUUCAGCCUCAAGAGCAGAAAGCUUUUUCUUCCACGCGUCAAUCUCCUUUUCCCGACCAAGGAUCAGCCCCUCAUAAUGUUCCAUCAUGUCAUUAAGUUCACCGUUAGCCUGCCAUUAUGCAUGAAAUCGGGAUGGUGAGUCAUUUCGAUGAACGGCAGCAUAAUCGGAAAAAUAAAGCGGAACUAACCCGGGAUGAAUGAUGAGCAUGAAGCAAAUAGCGUUCACGAAUCGCAGGGCGCCACUUGUCGAAGUCUGGCAAGAUCGAACCCGAUCGGGUCUUGAAGCAUCGGAAAACGCUGCCUUCCUUCUCCAUAGUUGCAAAGGAAGAAGAGUUGUAAAAAUCGGAAUCUGAAUAGAGACAAAAACUUUUAAGACUGUGUGAAUCACCAAACCUGAAAGCGAUUUGACUUGAGGGACAAGAGCAGGCUUUAACCUCGAGGAAGCAUCUCGGGAUUCAGAAUCUCCCUUUUUGGGAGAUGCGCUCCGGGCAGUCUUUUCACUGUCAGGUUGGGAAGGGGAAGACAUAUCAACCGGUCGUGGAGGACCCAUUGGUUCAGUAGGAGGAGAUGAUCGAGGUGAACGAUCAGUCCGGGCCCUUGACUUUUCCCUUUGCGGGGAAGAAUCACUGCGAGAGGACUUGUCUCUCUUCCGGCGAACCAAGUUCUUAAUUGGUUCAUUGCUAAAAUCAUCUCGGGGAGGACGAGGUGAAUCACGGCGAGGAGAUCGGUCCCUCCGAGGAGAACGUGAAUCAUGACGAUCGCGACGAGGAGUUAAUCUGAAAGAAGCAACGGAUCUGGCUCCUUCGGUGCUGCCAUCAUCAACCAGCAGGGUCCUACUGUAGUCCUUCUUGUCUAUAGAAGUCGCGAGAAUUUUUUUCUUCUCCUCGCAAGCCUCAGCCAUCGGCUUGGAAAGCAUCUUACGCUUGGCCGCAAGGGCCCGAGAUGACAUCCCCUGAGUUGAGGGAGGAGGCGGAAGUUGGUGAAGAUGACCUGGUGGACUCAUCCUGAGUCUGUGGUUAGCUUCUAGGAAUCGUUCAAGAGUGAAAGAAUUCCAAAGGGUUUCCCCUUCAAGAAUUAUUUUGAAGAAUUCGAUGAACUCUUCAGAUGGGAGAGUGGAAGCGACGAAAGCUGCGAAAUGAAACAACGGUGUUAGUCAAUAAAGAUAAAGAAACAACCGGGAAAGAUACGGGCGACCUAAUCUCUACCAGGUUUCGCAGACCACUUCGAAGGGAGAAAAUCUGCAAGAUUUCCAAUCGAAGCGGGAGUUUUCUUAAUCAGAAACCAAGGAUGAUGCCAAUUUUCAUCCUUGUUCGGAAGAUGUGAAAUGAUGUUCCUGUUGGCGUUAGGAUAUGCUGAGAAAUACCCCGUUUUCUUCGAUGAACUUCUCACGCUUAGAAGCUCAUUUAGUUCAGUGACUCCGAUAACGUAUCCGGCCUCCGCCGCGAUUGUUAUAAUUCCAAGAACAGUACGGAGAAGAUUGGGGGUUAAUUGAGGAAGAGCGAUUUCAAGAGCCGCUAGGUAUCGAACUAGGGCUUCAGGAAGAGGAAAAGUCAGCCCGCAACCUUUAAAAUAGAUCUCAUAUACACAGAAAUAGCCGUCGCGAUGGUUUUCUGGGGACUCCGUAGGAUCAGCUAUCUGCGCCUCCGCCAUAAUUCCCGGUGGAAUUCGGCAGAGCUCUUUCAAUCGUUCGAGGGACUGAAGGGUGCAGGUGGAUCUAUAGUGUGGACCGGCAAUAUCAUUAGAGCGGGUGCACUCGUCAUUGCUAGAACGCCUCUUAUCAAAAGACGGAGACUCGGGUCUAUCGGAAUCGGAAGUCAUUGGGAAGAAUGAAAAAUUCAAGUUUCGGGAAAAAGAAGAAUUUGGAGAGAAAAGUAGAAGGAGUUUUUAACCACAAAGAUCAAGAGUAAAAGUAAUAAUGAAAAAGAAGGUUACCUCACGCAAGCUAGGUGAUAAUGAUGGAACCGUCUUGGAAAUCGUGGAAGAAGUGGGAAGGUUUUUUCCCGCUUUAAUAGUAAAACGAUAUGCGGUCAUAAUGGCGACAGAUGUCACGCGACUAAAUAUGGGUAGCACCGAAAUUAAAGGACUGAUGGGAUCUUGGCGGGAAAAUCAGAAGAUUCCUCGGAACGCAAUCUUUGGUCAUUAAAGCAUUUAAAGUCCUCCGAAUUGGAAUAGCACUUCGAAGAACUUGGGGGGCUAAUUGUUGGUGUCGGAUCCCGCACCAGAAGUCCGAGACCAACCAAAGACUGCCACGUAGUCAAGAUAAAUGCCCAUAAAGGAUGAAGCCCGUCGAAUCCGUGAGCCAAGGGAACAGUCGAAGUGGGUAUCGCCACAAGGAGAAUCCGAAGUGACUGCAUUUUGGCAUGAGUCCGGCAUCGAAAUUACGGUUGAAUCGGUUUAAGGACAUUUGGGCCAAAAGGCGGGGCCCAUGAAGAUCAGAGUCAAUUCAAAUUCAAACGUUGAGGCAUUAAAGCCGAAGAUCAAAACGGACACAUUUAAGAGAGAAUAAUUAUACUUAAUUAGCCAUUUUAAUGUCGUUUUCCUAUGUAUAAAUACAAAGGCCAAUGGCCAUGUAA
rnacentral:lncRNA from 1 species